rnacentral:SRP_RNA from 1 species
UCGGUCCUGCGGGGCACGGUGGCACCGGCUCCUUCAUCUCGAAGGAUGGCCUCAUCGUGACGAACCACCAUGUCGCCCUGGACGCCGUCAGGCAAGCUAGCAGCCCCACGCAUGACUACC